CUCACUAGAAAUUGCGUCUCCAUUUUCCGCGAGGCGCGGCGACGGUCGAAGUUGAUAACGGAAACGGCAGAAGCUUCAGCAAACGUUUAGCAGCCACAUGCAAAGCGAACUCUGCAAAGUGGAUACCACCCAGUAGACAAAGACCUGGACUAUUUUUACUACAGUUUUUUUUCUAUAGCUUUUGCAUCGCCCCAUCUGCAGAAACUGAAUUUAAACACAAUAUGGAGAACGAAAGCAAGUAUCUCCCCGAGCUCCUCGCGGAGAAGGACAGCCUGGACACAUCGUUUACGCACGCAAUGAAACUUUUAUCUGCAGAAAUCGAGAGAAUCCAGAAAGGAGAGACCAAGAAGGAGGGGGAAACGUACCUGGACCUUUUCACAGUCAAGAACAUCAAGCUGAAAGAGCGAGUGCUGAUCCCAGUCAAACAGUACCCAAAGUUCAACUUCGUGGGGAAGAUCCUGGGACCACAGGGCAACACCAUCAAGCGUCUGCAGGAGGAGACGGGGGCCAAGAUCUCUGUUCUGGGAAAGGGCUCCAUGAGGGACAAGGCCAAGGAGGAAGGUCUGAGGAAAGGAGGAGAGCCCAAGUACGCCCACCUGUCCAUGGACCUGCACGUGUUCAUCGAGGUGUUCGCUCCUGUGCCCGAGGCCUAUGUCCGCAUGGCCCACGCCAUGGAGGAAGUCAAGAAGUUCCUGUUUCCUGACAUGAUGGAUGAUAUCUGUCAGGAGCAGUUCAUGGAGAUGGGGUACCUGAACGGGGGCCAGGAGCACGUGGGCCGGGGCCGCGGGGGGCCACCGACCAGGGCCCGCGGAGGACACCCACCCACAGGAGCGCCCAGGGGAAGGGGGAUGCCCCCUCGCGGAGGCGUGGCUCGCGGUGGCCCCACCAGGGGGGGACAGGCCCGGGGUGCCCCGGCCGGCCGAGGAGGACCUCCAGCAGCCCCCGCCAGAGGGGCAGCCACCCCCCGAGCCAGGCCCCCUGCGGCCGGACCCCCUCAGAGAAUGCCCCCUCCUCCCCCCCAUCAGCAUCAACACCAGCACCCCCCGGCCGCGGACACCUACGAGGACUACUCCUAUGAUGAAACCUACACAGAACCAGAGUAUGAAUCCUACGACAGCUACUACAGCCAGCCACAGGCAGAGCCAGAAUACUAUGACUAUGGACACGGGGAAUCACAGGAGACCUAUGAUUCCUACGCUCAAGAUGACUGGAACGGGACUGCCAGACCAGCAGGAGGGAAGGUGCCCCCAGCCAGACCAGUGAAGACCACGUAUCGGGAACACCCUUAUAGACAAUACUGAACUGACUGCACCUAGCGGUUAACGCGUCGCCCUGACAACAGCCUGUCUACCACGGCAGAUCUCGCUUUAAAGCAACCCGACAAAAAGCAGAGCUAGCGCUCCCCAGAUUGACUGGACAUGAAAAGACCAGUCAUGAGGACACGCCCAAGAUGGAGCCUCAGUGACACCCCCGCACCCUGGGACUGGACAGGAAGCUGUCAGCCCUCCUCAGUGAGGAACCGUCCCAGAAAGGAGCACCGUUCGUUGGGGAGGGAAGGGUAUGGAUAGAGGGCGUACUGCCAGGAGAACAAGUGAGGCCUGGAAGCGUAGGACCCCACUGUAGAAGAGAUGUGGAUGGAAAUAGAAAGUCUGGAAUGUUCCAGAUUGAUCACCCAUGAACCUUUCACACAGUGAAUACCUGUGUUUGAUUUAUUUUGAAUGUACAAGUUUUACUUUAGUGUACCCAUCCUUAGUGGAUUCGUUCAAGAAAGGUCAAUACUACCCUGAAACAGCCAAUUUUAUAUUUAGCAAAACACAUGUUCUGAUGAAUUGUAGCUUUUUUCUCUCUCUUUAGCUACCUACUUGAAUGUGUACUCGUCCUUGUGUACUGGUAGAUGAAAUGUUUUCAUGGUUUCUGCAAGCUAAGCUGUAUCUUCCACGCAUGACUCAUGCAUAAAAUGUUCUUUGUAUUACGUUCUUAAGUACCCAGUUUUGUUUUGGUGGCGGCUCGUUUGUCUCCAUGCAUAAUUGCCAUGCUGCAUUACAUGCUUUGCAUGUGAACAAAAUAUGCCCUAGAAGAGAAUCUGUUAUGCUUAAAUUCACUGCUGCUUUGGCACGUUGAAAAUCACCCCGGCUCACAAGUGUGCUUGCUCACACACAUACACACACACACAAACCUUGGCACAACACAGACGAUGCAGCCCUGUGGAUAUCAAAUGCUAAUGUGAAACUCAUUUGCAUGUCUCUUCCCCCCCCCCAAAAAAAAAUAAUAAUCAAAUGUUGGCUUUCUCCUGCAAGCCUGACCGCCAAAUCUGAGAAUCUGGCUAUAAGGAACAGGAAUGUUUGCACCUUUUGACAUUUUGACAGAGAGAGGCUGAGCGAUAUCCACAGCACAUUCCUCUAUAAACCAUAUCUAAACCUUUCCAACCAAUGGCAUCCCCACCAUAGUUGAACUGGUAUUACCGUGCAGCUCACACACCACUAAUCACUCAGACCUUUCAUGCAGAGUUUAAUCAGCAUUAGCCAAUACUUGAGCCUCUAUUUACUAGCGGGAUAAGAAUGGAGGGAGCUUAGUCCCUCACAGGGUUGCAUGCAAAUGUGAUGACGGCAUCAUGUCAGCUGAACAAUGUGAAAUGUAUUUGUUAUUCUGAGUCUGAACACAAGUGUUUAGUUCAAUCAUUUUGUUUCAUAUCACCUCUCUUUAUUGAAUACAAUGUAUACAAGCCGAAUGGAUUAAAUAAAUGAAUCA